rnacentral:rRNA from 1 species
GACGAACGCCGGCGGCGUGCUUAACACAUGCAAGUCGAGCGAUGAAGCUCCUUCGGGAGCGGAUUAGCGGCGGACGGGUGAGUAACACGUGGGCAACCUGCCUCAUAGAGGGGAAUAGCCUUCCGAAAGGAAGAUUAAUACCGCAUAAGAUUGUAGUACCGCAUGGUACAGCAAUUAAAGGAGUAAUCUGCUAUGAGAUGGACCCGCGUCGCAUUAGCUAGUUGGUGAGGUAACGGCUCACCAAGGCGACGAUGCGUAGCCGACCUGAGAGGGUGAUCGGCCACAUUGGGACUGAGACACGGCCCAGACUCCUACGGGAGGCAGCAGUGGGGAAUAUUGCACAAUGGGGGAAACCCUGAUGCAGCAACGCCGCGUGAGUGAUGACGGUCUUCGGAUUGUAAAGCUCUGUCUUCAGGGACGAUAAUGACGGUACCUGAGGAGGAAGCCACGGCUAACUACGUGCCAGCCGCCGCUGUAAGAC